rnacentral:lncRNA from 1 species
CUGAAUACCAGAAGAAGCAAUUUCACACUUGGCUUUGAAUAAAGAACCAAUGACUAGGAGAUCUCAAGGUCACUGUGGCUCAACAGCAAGGCAACUUGAGGAUACUUUUAUUAUUUCUGCUUUAUUUACCUGUCUGGGUGGAACUGAAGAAGAACAAUACUGAAGUGAACUUAAUUUUUGUUGUAUUAAAUUCUCCUAUCCUGUUAGCCAUGAUGCCUCACAACCUGGGAGGAACCACUAGGUCAAGCAAUUGUCCCCUAGUCCAGUUGUUGGAUCAACUGUCAUAAAGAAGAAAAGGAACUACAAAAGAGCAUACACUGGGCAAGUUUAAAAAUGCUUUAUUUUAUUUUAUUUUAUUUUAUUUUAUUUUAUUUUAUUUUAUUUUAUUUUAUUUUAUUUUAUUUUAUUUUA